rnacentral:rRNA from 1 species
UUUGAUUUUAAUUUAAAGUCUAAUCUUGCCCACUGAUAAAUAUUAAAGGGCUGCAGUAAUUUGACUGUACAAAGGUAGCAUAAUCAUUAGUCUUUUAAUUGGAGACUUGUAUGAAAGAUUUGAUGAGAUAUAAACUGUCUCUUAUUUAUUUAUAAAAUUUAAUUUUUUAGUUAAAAAGCUAAAAUAUAUUUAAAAGACGAGAAGACCCUAUAGAGUUUUAUAAUUUAUAAAUUUAAUAUUUAUAUAAAAUUUUAAUAUUAAAUAAAAUAAAUUAUUUUGUUGGGGUGAUAAAAAAAUUAAAAAAACUUUUUUUUUUGUUUACAUAAAUAAGUGUUUAAUUGAUCCUUUAUAAAGAUUAUAAGAAAAAAUUACCUUAGGGAUAACAGCGUAAUAUUUUUUUUUAGUACAAAUAAAAAAAAAAGUUUGCGACCUCGAUGUUGGAUUAAGAUAAAAUUUAAAUGCAAAAGUUUAAAAUUUUGAUCUGUUCNAUCAUUAAAAUCUUACAUGAUCUGA